rnacentral:rRNA from 1 species
UACGAAGGGUGCAAGCGUUAAUCGGAAUUACUGGGCGUAAAGCGUGCGUAGGCGGUGAGUUAAGUCUGUCGUGAAAUCCCCGGGCUCAACCUGGGAAUGGCGAUGGAUACUGGCUCGCUAGAGUGUGAUAGAGGAUGGUGGAAUUCCCGGUGUAGCGGUGAAAUGCGUAGAGAUCGGGGAGGAACAUCAGUGGCGAAGGCGGCCAUCUGGAUCAACACUGACGCUGAGGCACAAAAGCGUGGGGGGAGCAAACAGGG